AACGAACGCUGGCGGCAUGCCUAAUACAUGCAAGUCGAGCGAAUCAAUGGGAGCUUGCUCCCUGAGAUUAGCGGCGGACGGGUGAGUAACACGUGGGUAACCUGCCUGUAAGACUGGGAUAACUUCGGGAAACCGGAGCUAAUACCGGAUACUUUCUUUUCUCGCAUGAGGGAAGAUGGAAAGAUGGUUCUGCUAUCACUUACAGAUGGACCCGCGGCGCAUUAGCUAGUUGGUGAGGUAACGGCUCACCAAGGCAACGAUGCGUAGCCGACCUGCGAGGGUGAUCGGCCACGCUGGGACUGAGACACGGCCCAGACUCCUACGGGAGGCAGCAGUAGGGAAUCUUCCGCAAUGGACGAAAGUCUGACGGAGCAACGCCGCGUGAGCGAAGAAGGCCUUCGGGUCGUAAAGCUCUGUUGUUAGGGAAGAACAAGUACGAGAGUAACUGCUCGUACCUUGACGGUACCUAACCAGAAAGCCACGGCUAACUACGUGCCAGCCGCCGCGGUAAGAC
rnacentral:rRNA from 1 species